rnacentral:rRNA from 1 species
AUACGGAGGGUGCAAGCGUUAUCCGGAUUUAUUGGGUUUAAAGGGUCCGUAGGCGGAUCCGUAAGUCAGUGGUGAAAUCUCAUAGCUUAACUAUGAAACUGCCAUUGAUACUGCGGGUCUUGAGUGAGAUUGAGGUAGCUGGAAUAAGUAGUGUAGCGGUGAAAUGCAUAGAUAUUACUUAGAACACCAAUUGCGAAGGCAGGUUACCAAGUCUUAACUGACGCUGAUGGACGAAAGCGUGGGGAGCGAACAGGAUUAGAUACCCUGGUAGUCCACGCCGUAAACGAUGCUAACUCGUUUUUGGGUCUUCGGAUUCAGAGACUAAGCGAAAGUGAUAAGUUAGCCACCUGGGGAGUACGUUCGCAAGAAUGAA